rnacentral:rRNA from 1 species
GCACCUGAAAUCAAGUAAGAUGACCCGCA